rnacentral:misc_RNA from 1 species
AAGGAGUCUAGCUCAUGUGCGAGUGUGCGGGUCUAAAUCCCCCACGCGUAACGAAAGUGAUAUCUUGGCAAGUCCUCGGACUUUCAGAAGCUACCAAUCCUGAUCUUCGGGAAUGGACUUGAGUGAGAGCACAGAUGCUAGGACCCGAAAGAUGGUGAACUAUGCCUGAAUAGGGUGAAGCCAGAGGAAACUCUGGUGGAGGCUCGUAGCGGUACUGACGUGCAAAUCGAUCGUCAAACUUGGGUAUAGGGGCGAAAGACUAAUCGAACCAUCUAGUAGCUGGUUCCCGC